AUACUUGUAUCUCUAAACUUAUCUAAUGCGCCGAAACAAAGGAAAAUGUGGCCAGAGUAUCUCAUUAUGAUAUGAAGUCAAGAAGUGUCUGCUUAUACGGAAGGAAGGUAUGCUACAAAAAUAACUGGUUUAAGAAGAUCGAUUCUUAUUUUAUUUUUUUUUAAAGCACGGUGUUUGUCUUUUUUAAGGGAAAAAUAUCAAAUUAAUUAUCAAUUUUUAAUUGGUUCACAUUCAAUAAAUCGUGCUCAAGAAUCGUCUUCGUGAAUUGUGAAUGCAUGCAAAUGUCGCAAACUUUGCAGGAGAAUGAAAGUGUGUAGGAUACAUGCACUAUUUGAAUAAAUACAAUAGAACAAUUGAAACUC
rnacentral:sRNA from 1 species